rnacentral:rRNA from 1 species
GACGAACGCUGGCGGCGUGCCUAAUACAUGCAAGUCGAGCGGACGGAUGGGAGCUUGCUCCCAGACCGUCAGCGGCGGACGGGUGGGUAACACGUGGGCAACCUGCCUGUAAGACUGGGAUAACUCCGGGAAACCGGGGCUAAUACCGGAUAACUCUUUCCCUCACAUGAGGGAAAGCUGAAAGAUGGCAUCUCGCUAUCACUUACAGAUGGGCCCGCGGCGCAUUGCUAGUUGGUGAGGUAACGGCUCACCAAGGCGACGAUGCGUAGCCGACCUGAGAGGGUGAUCGGCCACACUGGGACUGAGACACGGCCCAGACUCCUACGGGAGGCAGCAGUAGGGAAUCUUCCGCAAUGGACGAAAGUCUGACGGAGCAACGCCGCGUGAGUGAUGAAGGUUUUCGGAUCGUAAAACUCUGUUGUCAGGGAAGAACAAGUACCGGAGUAACUGCCGGUACCUUGACGGUACCUGACCAGAAAGCCACGGCUAACUACGUG